UCAAGAGACUGCUGGAAGAGUUUUGUUGAUCUCUUCUGGAUAAUAACUCUUGUUCUUGUGCUUUUCAGGUCUUGGAGAUGUGUUUCUGUGAAGCAUGUCUGGCAUCUGAAUCACACCUCCGAACCCUUCUAUGCUGAUAUUGUUUAAUCCAGAAGUUGGUCUUUCCACAACCUGGGGAAUGUUAUCUGUUCCUUCCUUGAACGAGCGCCUGCCUUUGUGCAGUCAAUGGCUGACGGCGAGGUGUCUUCUGCCCCUUGGGGAUAAUAAAGGCUCGCCCUGACUCUCAGACAGACCGUGCUUUCGCUGCUUCUCGAUAACACGGCCAGCCUAAACUCAUCAUUGAUGUCGGUGCGCAGUGACGCGCCGCGCGGAGCGGCAGAUUGAUGUCCGCCAACGCCUCCUUUCGUCAGCUAUUAGGAAGCCGGACAAAGGUGCUGUCUCGCACUGCACUGAUCAAGCCAGAGACAAACACGGGAGACUUGAAGGCACCCAUUAAGCAGCUCCCUGAAGAGCGGUGAGCUCAGAAUCCAAACAACAAAACGUUAAGGAAACGACUUUAGUCGAGGGGCCAUAUUUACCCAAAUCAGUGAUUUCGAAUGUUCAACGGUUUAAACGACUGUAUUUAAAAAUAUUUAAUACCAACAUUAUAUUUGUCAUCUACAUUCUAUCUUCAAUGCUGCAUGUGAUAAUGAAGAGCUAUGGAUCCAACCAUUUUCUAACUGCUUUAUCCUGUUCAGGGUUGAAUUCACAUGAGGGAUGUGUCACGCCCGGUACACCUAGAGGGUGCUCUACUUCUCUCCUGUUCCUAGUUCUCUGUGAUUAUUCUUUUCUUUCUGAUGUGUCU